GAGUUUGAUCUUGGCUCAGAUUGAACGCUGGCGGCAGGCCUAACACAUGCAAGUCGAGCGGAUGACGGGAGCUUGCUCCUUGAUUCAGCGGCGGACGGGUGAGUAAUGCCUAGGAAUCUGCCUGGUAGUGGGGGACAACGUUUCGAAAGGAACGCUAAUACCGCAUACGUCCUACGGGAGAAAGCAGGGGACCUUCGGGCCUUGCGCUAUCAGAUGAGCCUAGGUCGGAUUAGCUAGUUGGUGGGGUAAUGGCUCACCAAGGCGACGAUCCGUAACUGGUCUGAGAGGAUGAUCAGUCACACUGGAACUGAGACACGGUCCAGACUCCUACGGGAGCAGCAGUGGGGAAUAUUGGACAAUGGGCGAAAGCCUGAUCCAGCCAUGCCGCGUGUGUGAAGAAGGUCUUCGGAUUGUAAAGCACUUUAAGUUGGAGGAAGGCGGUAAGUUAAUACCUUGCUGUUUUGACGUUACCGACAGAAUAAGCACCGGCUAAACUCUGUGCCAGC
rnacentral:rRNA from 1 species